GAUGAAGAGAGCUUUGCACUGUACUUAACCUCUAAUGCAGAAUUUGAUGCUGUGAUAGGAUAUUUAGAGGAUAUUAUCAAAGAUGACAAGUUCUAGUUAUUAGAGAAAUUUCAUGGACAAGUACUACUGAGAGUUUGCAGAUGCAGAAGAAAAUAAACUCAACUUCAUGCCUAUUUUUAAUGAAUAUAUUUCUUUGGUAGGAAAGUAUAUAGAACAGCUGCUGGAGAGGAUUCCUGGAUUUAACAUGGCAGUUUUCACAGCAACAUUACAGCACCAUAAGGAUGAAGUGGCUGGUGACAUAUUCAACACGCUGCUCGCAUUUAUAGAUUUUUCUGGCUUUUAAAGAAAUAUUUCUGGACUACAAAGUGGAAAAAACAGGCCAGGGACUGGACUUAAGCAGUGGUUUAGUGGUGACUUUGCCGUGCAAAUCAUCUUCUAUGCCAGCUUCCCAGAACAAUCUGCUGCACUAAG
rnacentral:lncRNA from 1 species